UACUGAUCAUGGACACCAAUUUGAAGCUUGUCUGUUCCGUGAGCUUUCAAGAUUGCUUGGAGUUCAGCACAUCCACACGACAAGUUACCAUCCCAUCGCAAAUAGAAUGGUGGAAUGAUUCCACUGCAAGCUUAAAGGCGUUAUUCACACACUCAUCAGUGGU